AUUGAACGCUGGCGGCAUGCCUUACACAUGCAAGUCGAACGGUAACAGGUCUUCGGAUGCUGACGAGUGGCGAACGGGUGAGUAAUACAUCGGAACGUGCCCGAGAGUGGGGGAUAACGAGGCGAAAGCUUUGCUAAUACCGCAUACGAUCUCAGGAUGAAAGCAGGGGACCGCAAGGCAUUGCGCUCACGGAGCGGCCGAUGGCAGGUUAGGUCUUGGGUGGGAUAAAAGCUUACCAAGCCGACGAUCUGUAGCUGGUCUGAGAGGACGACCAGCCACACUGGGACUGAGACACGGCCCAGACUCCUACGGGAGGCAGCAGUGGGGAAUUUUGGACAAUGGGCGCAAGCCUGAUCCAGCCAUGCCGCGUGCAGGGUGAAGGCCUUCGGGUUGUAAACUGCUUUUGUACGGAACGAAAAGACUCUGGUUAAUACCUGGGGUCCAUGACGGUACCGUAAGAAUAAGCACCGGCUAACUACGUGCCAGCCGCCGCCGUAACAC
rnacentral:rRNA from 1 species